rnacentral:lncRNA from 1 species
UUAAUUAUGUAGCCAAACAAAUUUUAAAUUAAGGAUGUGUUUGGUUCGCGCUAUCUUUUUAAGAUUUCUAAUAAUCCAAUAGGAAUAAAAAAAAUAUGACGGUGUUUGGCUAAAUGCACUAAGUAAUUUAGUUGGUAAUAUUGGAUUUACUUGGGAAUGAGAUUCAUCCUAAAGUACUAAUCUCGUUCCUUUGAGGGAGGGUGGGUAUCCUCGUAUUAAUGAUUGGGGUAAUCACAAUAUAUCUAAUCUUUUUCUUUCUCCCUACCAGCCGGCUAGUUGGUAUCAUUUUUCUUUACACUCUAACUUCAUGUCCCUUUAUAAACUUAUCUUUUUCUCUCUAAAUUUCAACUUUUUUUCUCUCUCUAAACUAAGCUCUCGCUCUCCCUCUUUUUCUAAAAUCUCAACUCUCUCACUCCCUCUAAUCUCGACUCUAUUUCUCUUCCUAUUUCUUUAAUUAUGCUCUCUCUUUAACCUAUAUUCUCUCUUUUUUAAAAAAAGAUAUUAAAAUUUUUGAUAGCAUUGUCUAAAAUUAAUUAAUUAAUUAAUUAAUUAAUUAUAUAUUUUUUGUAAAAUUAAAUAAUAUGAUUAAAUAAUAUGACCGUGCGAACCAAACACAUAAAUGCCACAUUCUUAGUAAUAGAAUGAAUAGAAAUAAGAUUCUCGAACAUCUUUUUAUUCCUAGUAAUCUUUCAUAGUGCAAACCAAACGCACCCUAAAAGAUAUGCUAUUCAAAGUAAACUCAAGUAGUCCAUUUAACUACCUCACUAUUAGAGGAUUUUGAAUUAGAGACCUUGUACAAAUCUUGAAAACCCGUAAUAUAAUGAUCUUCGAAUAACAUGUAUAUAGAGAGAGAGAGAGGUCCAGCUACAGUGUUUUUAAAAAUAAAAAAUAUUUAGUAUUUGUAAAUUUUUUACCGUUAGGUCUAUUGUUUUGAUUAUUUUCAUCCGAUAGUUUAUGCUAUUUACUAUCAUUCUAGCCGCAUAUAUCUUAAUUCAAGAACCAAAAACCUAUAAAUAUCAAUAACUUAGUACUUUUAAAAAUAUAGAAGCUCAAUUUUAUAUAUAUAUAUAUAUAUAUAUAUAUAUAUAUGAGUUGAGCUAGAAUACUUCUAAAAGUAUUAUGAGGUUGGUGCUUUGAAGUUUUUAAUCAUUGGAUGAAAAAAUAUAAGAUUGGGAUGAUGGUGGUAGGUGGUGGUAAGUGGAAUAGUAUUUGAUCCAAAGGCUAUUAGUAAUCAAGGAGUAGAUCUAAGGGCUAGAAAUCUAAAAGCACCAAUUGGGUGAUACUUCUAAAAGUAUUCUAGCUCAAUUCUAUAUAUAUAU